AGUCUGGCGGCUGGAGGCUUGAAGGUGGCUGCCCGAGGGUCGUCCAGGGGCCGGGGCUGGGUCCUAGCGGGUACCCGGGGAUAAAAGCGAGAAAAGAGAGAACCGUAUGGCUUUAAUGAGCUGCUCCUCGUCGUCCAGUAGCUGCCUCGCUGCUCGAAGGCUCCGUUCUUUCUCGUCGCGGACCCGGCGCCAGCCCAGGUAGAGGGCGAGGCCGAAGAGCACGAAACCCACGCUGAGUCCCACUGCCCCGGCCA
rnacentral:lncRNA from 1 species